rnacentral:lncRNA from 1 species
GGCCAGCCGUUACCAGGGAGACGGAAGGAGGGGGGGCGCGUUCGGAGGCCUCCGAGCGCCGGAGCGGCUCUGGAUUGGUGGGGGAGGGACUAGGCUCGCGCAUGGGCGGGAGCGCGCGCCUGCCUCGACUGGGGCCCGUGUUUUCUUCUUCCCUUGGCUUGUUCUUUCCUUUUCCCGGCGGGCCUUGCGCGCCCAACGGUCCCUUCCCAGGGCGCCGGCCUUUCCCCUCCCCUCCCCCCCCGGAGGAGGAGGAGGAGGAGGAGGAGGAGGAGGAGGAGGAGGAGGAGGAGGACUCGAUUGGGCACGACGUGUCGUCUCUGAGGGUGAUAGGCCUCAUCCUCCUGGAAUCCAGAUUUAUGAAUCAGUUGCAUGUACAGAUGUUGCUACUGGGGCAGGGAGUGAUCUCCAUGAACAAAAUUUUCUGUUUGCCCGUUCUGCAAUGUGAGAACUGCUAG